rnacentral:rRNA from 1 species
AAGUCGAACGGCAGCACGGGGGCAACCCUGGUGGCGAGUGGCGAACGGGUGAGGAAUGCACCGGAACGUAUCUUCAAGUGGGGGAUAACGCAUCGAAAGGUGUGCUAAUACCGCAUAAUCUCUGAGGAGAAAAGCAGGGGAUCGCAAGACCUUGCGCUUUUGGAGCGGCCGAUGCCUGAUUAGCUUGUUGGUGAGGUAAAAGCUCACCAAGGCUCCGAUCAGUAGCUGGUCUGAGAGGACGACCAGCCACACUGGGACUGAGACACGGCCCAGACUCCUACGGGAGGCAGCAGUGGGGAAUUUUGGACAAUGGGGGCAACCCUGAUCCAGCCAUGCCGCGUGAGUGAAGAAGGCCUUCGGGUUGUAAAGCUCUUUCAGCCGGAACGAAACGGUCACGGUUAAUACCCGUGACUACUGACGGUACCGGAAGAAGAAGCACCGGCUAACUACGUGCCAGCAGCCGCGGUAAUACGUAGGGUGCGAGCGUUAAUCGGAAUUACUGGGCGUAAAGCGUGCGCAGGUGGUUUUGUAAGUCAGAUGUGAAAUCCCCGGGCUUAACCUGGGAACUGCGUUUGAAACUGCAAGGCUAGAGUGUGGCAGAGGGGGGUGGAAUUCCGCGUGUAGCAGUGAAAUGCGUAGAGAUGUGGAGGAACACCGAUGGCGAAGGCAGCCCCCUGGGUCAACACUGACGCU